AUUAUUUGGUCAUGAAUUUGGGAAAGCAAUUAGCAACAAACUCAAGUUGAAGGCUUCAAAUGAUCAGAAGAAAGUUAAUGCACUCACUUACCUUCUAGUUGUAUCUUGUAUUUUUUUUUGUUAUAAUGUAUAAGUACAUAUAAUGAAAUAAAAAAAUUGCUUUGUAAUAUGUGGAAUGAAAUGAGUUGUUUUGGAUUAAC
rnacentral:lncRNA from 1 species